AGCUUAGCUCAAUCGGUCAGAGCAUCGCGACACGUAAAUACGGAGGUAUGAGUUCGAGUCUUAUAGCU
rnacentral:tRNA from 1 species